rnacentral:rRNA from 1 species
GACGAACGCUGGCGGCGUGCUUAACACAUGCAAGUCGAACGGAAAGGCCCCUUUGGGGGUACUCGAGUGGCGAACGGGUGAGUAACACGUGAGUAACCUGCCCUUGACUUCGGGAUAACUUCAGGAAACUGGGGCUAAUACCGGAUAGGAAUCCUUGCUGCAUGGUGGGGGUUGGAAAGCUUCGGCGGUUUUGGAUGGACUCGCGGCUUAUCAGCUUGUUGGUGGGGUAGUGGCUUACCAAGGCUUUGACGGGUAGCCGGCCUGAGAGGGCGACCGGCCACAUUGGGACUGAGAUACGGCCCAGACUCCUACGGGAGGCAGCAGUGGGGAAUAUUGCACAAUGGGCGGAAGCCUGAUGCAGCAAAGCCGCGUGCGGGAUGACGGCCUUCGGGUUGUAAACCGCUUUCAGCAGGGGCGAAGCUUGUGGUGACGGUACCUGCAGAAGAAGCACCGGCUAACUACGUG